rnacentral:rRNA from 1 species
ACGGAUCCUUCGGGAUUAGUGGCAGACGGGUGAGUAACGCGUGGGAAGCUACCUUGUGGUAGGGGACAACAGUUGGAAACGACUGCUAAUACCCUAUGAGCCCUAUGGGGGAAAGAUUUAUCGCCAUGAGAUGUGCCCGCGUUAGAUUAGCUAGUUGGUAAGGUAAUGGCUUACCAAGGCGACGAUCUAUAGCUGGUCUGAGAGGAUGAUCAGCCACACUGGGACUGAGACACGGCCCAGACUCCUACGGGAGGCAGCAGUGGGGAAUAUUGGACAAUGGGGGCAACCCUGAUCCAGCCAUGCCGCGUGUGUGAUGACGGCCUUAGGGUUGUAAAGCACUUUCAGCAGUGAAGAUAAUGACAUUAACUGCAGAAGAAGCCCCGGCUAACUUCGUGCCAGCAGCCGCGGUAAUACGAAGGGGGCUAGCGUUGUUCGGAAUCACUGGGCGUAAAGAGUACGUAGGCGGACUGAUAAGUUAGGGGUGAAAUCCCAAGGCUCAACCUUGGAACUGCCUUUGAUACUGUCAGUCUUGAGAUCGAGAGAGGUGAGUGGAACUCCGAGUGUACAGGUGAAAUUCGUAGAUAUUCGGAAGAACACCAGUGGCGAAGGCGGCUCACUG